AGUCCUGCCUCUAGUGCAGCACGGCAGCUGGAGAAGGAGACACAGAGAGAAGCAGAGGAGCAGAACGAAUGUGUCAGCCAGCUGCAGAAGGAACUGUUAAUCAUGUGAGAGAAUGUGGAAGACGACAGAGGUUGGAUCAGGGAAACACACCGCUGGGUGAGGCGGUGCGAUGCUGACUGGGAGUGUAAGCAGGGCGGUGAAAGUUCACACAGCUUUGAAAACUAAUUUGCCAAAAUAACGUUGAGGUUGGAGUUGGAGGGGCAAAAAAGAACCAAGGCUUAAGAAACAACAUUCAGACCAGCUGUUAUUCUUUUCUUAUUUGAACAUUCAG